UACGUAGGGACCAAGCGUUGUUCGGAUUUACUGGGCGUAAAGGGCGCGUAGGCGGCAAUUCAAGUCAUCUGUGAAAUCUCCGGGCUUAACUCGGAACGGUCAGAUGAUACUGCUUUGCUAGAGUACAGAAGGGGCAAUCGGAAUUCUUGGUGUAGCGGUGAAAUGCGUAGAUAUCAGGAGGAACACCUGAGGUGAAGACGGGUUGCUGGGCUGAUACUGACGCUGAGGCGCGAAAGCUAGGGUAGCAAACGGG
rnacentral:rRNA from 1 species